CCCUUAGAUGUUCUGGGCUGCACGCGCGCUACACUGAUACUUUCAGCGAGUCCACCACCUUGCCUGGGAGGGUGGGGUAACCUCUGGAAAGUGCAUCGUGAUGGGGAUCGAUUAUUGUAAUUAUUAAUCUUCAACGAGGAAUUCCUAGUAAGCAUGUGUCAUCAGCCCGUGCUGAUUACGUCCCUGCCCUUUGUACACACCGCCCGUCGCUCCUACCGAUUGAACGUUUUAGUGAGGUAUUUGGACUGGACCUUCGGAGGUUCGCGCCUCCGUUGCUGUUCGGGAAGACUCCCAAACUUGAGCGUUUAGAGGAAGUAAAAGUCGUAACA
rnacentral:rRNA from 1 species